GAGAAGGAAAAAGGCUGCCUGCCAGUCUCCCUGUAAGGGUGAACGUACUUUUCUACCCACUUUGGAGCUCCUCCACAAAGUCUUGAUUCAGCUGCCCACAUGGUGUGUCCCGAAUUGGUGGGUUCUGAAUUGGUGGGUUCUUGGUCUGAUUUCAAAAACCCAGCUGCAGACCCUUAGGGUGGGUGUGACAGUUAAGUUUUUUUUUUGGUGGGUUUGCAGUCUCGCUGGCUGAGGCAGAAAGUGAAAGCUGCAGGCCUUUGUGACGACUGUUACAACUCAUAAACGCAGUGUAGACCAGAAAAGAGUACAACAGCAAAAGCUAUUACAAUAAGCAAAAAAACAAAACCGUCACAGCAUGGAAACAAAUCCGACUUCGUUGCUAUUGCUGGCUAGGGCAGCCUGCUUUUAUACUCUUAUCUGGC
rnacentral:lncRNA from 1 species